GGGUUUUAUUUAUUAGAUAAAGAACCAAUAUUUUUGGUGACUCAUAAUAACUUUACGGAUCACAUUAUGUGACAUAUCAUUCAAGUUUCUGACCUAUCAGCUUUAGACGGUAGGGUAUUGGCCUACCGUGGCUAUGACGGGUAACGGGGAAUUAGGGUUCGAUUCCGGAGAGGGAGCCUGAGAAACGGCUACCACAUCUAAGGAAGGCAGCAGGCGCGCAAAUUACCCAAUCCUAAUACAGGGAGGUAGUGACAAGAAAUAACAAUACAGGACCUUACGGUUUUGUAAUUGGAAUGAGUUAAGUAUAAACCCCUUAACAAGUAUCAAUUGGAGGGCAAGUCUGGUGCCAGCAGCCGCGGUAAUUCCAGCUCCAAUAGCGUAUAUUAAAGUUGUUGCAGUUAAAAAGCUCGUAGUUAAUUUUCUGUUAAUUUUUAUAUACAAUACUACGGUAUUUAUAUAAUAUUAACAUAAUUCAUAUUACUUUUUAGUAUAUGAAACUUUACUUUGAGAAAAUUAGAGUGCUUAAAGCAGGCUAUUGCCUUGAAUACUCCAGCAUGGAAUAAUAUUAAGGAUUUUUAUUCUUCUUAUUGGUUCUAGAAUAAAAAUAAUGAUUAAUAGGGACAGUUGGGGGCAUUUGUAUUUAACAGUCAGAGGUGAAAUUCUUAGAUUUGUUAAAGACAAACUACUGCGAAAGCAUUUGCCAAGGAUGUUUUCAUUAAUCAAGAACGAAAGUUAGGGGAUCGAAGACGAUCAGAUACCGUCGUAGUCUUAACCAUAAACUAUGCCAACUAGAGAUUGGAGGUUGUUCCUUACUCCUUCA
rnacentral:rRNA from 1 species